rnacentral:rRNA from 1 species
UACAGAGGUCUCAAGCGUUUGUUCGGAUUUAUUGGGCGUAAAGGGCGCGUAGGCGGCGGGGUAAGUCGGGUGUGAAAUCUCAGGGCUCAACCCUGAAACUGCACUUGAUACUGCUCUGCUUGAGGACUGGAGAGGAGACUGGAAUUCACGGUGUAGCAGUGAAAUGCGUAGAUAUCGUGAGGAAGACCAGUGGCGAAGGCGGGUCUCUGGACAGUUCCUGACGCUGAGGGCACGAAGGUC